CUCUUAAUUAAAGUUCUAUCUAUUGUAUAAUGACUCAAGGUAUGACGUUAACUUUAGUUUUCAUCUAAUAAAUUUCAAUUUUCUAAUUUAUGUGCUUGUGAAAUUCUUCACAUGCCUUUGAUUCCCCUAAGAGGUUAAAUUGCACCUAAUAUAUUAUGAAAGCUAAGUACGAAAUUGUUUCAGCUAAAAUAUGAAUAUUAGUUUAUAAUCUCUACUUUAUUCAUGUUCCCCUUGUGCUUGGAAUUGCAAUAUUUAGAUCCCUAGCCAAAAGGCGCCGAACUGCUCUUCUUUCUUCAAGCACUACCACUUGUUGCUAUAUUUAAUUUUCUGGUAUUUACCCAGGUUUGGAUGCGGUUUUGAGCAUCCCUAAAUCUUGGAGAACAGGUACGUACAUCUAAUUAAAGAUGAUAGGUCCGGCCCUGAACAUGGUAAGGAAGGCUCGGUCAUUUUUUUUUUUCAUCAACAAGGACAUAUUCUUUGGGUUUAGCCUACGAAAUUUUAAAACCUCAUUAGCUAGGUUUCUUUUCUUUAAAUUUCAGAGAGAUAAGCAAGAUAAUUUAUACUUUAUCGAUUAGAAAAAUGAAGAAAUUUAUGUUUUUUUUUUUUUUUUUGUGUCUUCUCAAUUUCUUAGUUUCUUUGUUAAAGGGGUUGGGGGAUCAUUCCUGAGCAUGGUCUUAAUUCUGUAACUGUUUGAUGGUCAAUAUAUAUGGUUUUCAACUAAUUUUUCUCCCUUUGCUAAUUUCUGAAAUCAUACAAAUGUAAUAAAUUAAGGACUAUAUAUAAAAGAAACAUAGUGAUCACAACUGACAUGUAAUCAUCUCCAUAGCAGUAUAUUUAAUUAUUCAUACAUAGAUUUCGCUCAAAAUGAUUUCGCUUGCAUCAUUAUGUAGUUUGAAAUAUCAAUAAUAAUGAAUCUCUAAUAAUAGUUAUCUUUGACAGGCCAUGCAUGAUAGGGAUGGCAUUUCAAAUACUCAUUUAGUAAUAUAUCUUUGUUUGUACCUAGUUAUACACUAAUAUAUGAAAUCAGCUAGCAUUGAUCUAUUUGGAGAAGUUGUCAAGAAGCUAGAAAUAUAUCUGUACCUGCCAUGCACAGAAGAUCCAAGCGAUCGAGACAUGCAAGAGUAAGAAAAUUUACCAUUUCUCCGGUCAUGCCAUCGAUAUUGCUGAUUAUACUGUAAUAGGAAGUUGAUGAUGAGACUGUAUCGAGAGAAGGAGAACCCUUCUCAUCAUGAGCUAAUUUAUCUGCUCUCGAUAUUAGAUUUCUCUGCUGCAGGAUCAAAAGAAUCCAGCGCCAACGUUCUCUUGCAGUGCUACUGUUGCCGGAUAUUAGCAAGGCCGUCUGCCGAGACUCGAGGUCCACAUCGUGGCCAGAGCUUGUGCUCGACAUACAGCUUGUCUGAAUAUGCAUGGCGGCUGGCGCUGUGCAUAAAACUCACUUUCUGCACUUCAACAAACAAAUUAAUCAUUAAUGGGUAGGCAAAAAUAGAAUGAAAGAAUUCGAUGGUAUGAUUGGUAGCCAGACAUAUAUACUCACAUAACUGUAUUUUUCUCCUGAGCAGCCACACAAUAACGGUACUGAUGCCGAUAGAAAAAUUGCUUCAUAGGUAGCUGGUCGUGUGUGUGUGUAUAUAUAUAUGUUGCUUUUUCUGUUCAGAUUAUUUGUUUUCCUCGAAACUUCCUCCAAAUGUUUAGGUAGCUCCAAGACUAGUGUAACUGCCGCGUGCUAAGGUUGGAGAUUGAGGCUUCCAUUACGUCUCUACCGAUCAUCCAAAACCGCGUGAACUUUUAAAAUGAUUUGCUUGGCAUUAUGAAGAGCAGAACAGACAAUAAUUGAAUGCAGCUUGUACUUGAUCAAUCAUCUGAUUAAGAUCAUGCGGCGUCGUGCCUCAACCAACGUGAUCAUGUGGGACAGAUCCGAGGGUCCAGCCAUCUGACAGGUAGAUUGUGAAGUGGUCACUGAAAUUUCCGUACCACCGUACUGGAGGGAACUGAGGUCGAUGACUCGAUCAUAUUAUUACGUCUUCUUCUAUUAAUUGUCGUGAGCUGUGGGGAAUUGCAGCGAUGUAUCCACGUCUUCGCAAGUUGUUUAUAUGGUAAAUGGUGCUCGACGUGUUUAACUUUACGAAUUACUUGAGAACUCUACUGGUGUCUCAAUUACAACGGUUCCAAUUCCAAGCCAAAUGGUCAGAGAGGGAUGAAAGGAGAUUUUUCUUUGAAGCUUCGUUCAAAUUUUUGGGAAGAUCCUUUUACUGACGAUAAACAACGUUAACGUCGACUGAAAAUGUUUUCGAGGAAAGCUUGACACUUUGAAGACAUUGUACGUACGUAAUGCAUGACGUGCUUGUGCUUUAUUUUGG